rnacentral:rRNA from 1 species
AACUACCUGAAUUACGUAUGAUUACCUGCUGAACUUAAGCAUAUCAGUAAGCAGAGGAAAAGAAACGAACACGGAUUCCCUGAGUAACUGCGAGUGAAACGGGAUGAGCCCAGCGCUUAAGGUUGCCGCUCGUUUGGGUGGUGACCGGUGUAGCGUAUAGAACUUUCGUUUUGCAACUAUUGACUGGUCCAAGUUUUGCUGGAAAGCAAUGGCAUAGACGGUUUUACCCCGGUACGGCUGGUUGUGGUUGCAAAGUGGUUGUUCUUGGAGUCGGGUUGUUUGGAAAUCGCAGCCCAAAAGCGGGAGGUAAACUUCUCCUAAGGCUAAAUAUGACCGCGAAACCGAUAGAAAACAAGUACCGUGAGGAAAGU